GCGCCGUUGGUAUAGUGGUUAGCAUACUCGCUUCCCAAGAAAUCCUCUAAUUAGCGAGUGACCCGAGUUCGAAUCUCGGACGGCGCA
rfam:Neurospora crassa OR74A linkage group V, whole genome shotgun sequence.